rnacentral:misc_RNA from 1 species
AGGCUUUUAGCAUUUCUUGUGCUUCAUGUUGUAGAAACCUUGCUUUUUGUCUCUUCCAUUGCUCAUUGUGCUAUGGAAUAGGGAAAUUAUUGCUCUGUUGAUGUUAGUAGAAAUGUUGUCUCAGUAGAAAUGUUAUUCUAAUAUUCUUUCACUAUCUAAAUGCUCUUCAAUGUUCCCAUAGGAAUGGGGUUGAGUCUAUCUCGUUAACUCUUUUCAGAUAUGGGGAGAUUGUUGAUG